rnacentral:lncRNA from 1 species
AUAGGAAAUGGUAAUUAAAGACAGACAAUAUUCAAUUUUUGACGGCAAUAUUCAAUUUUCUUUCAAUUAUAUGAAAAUAUAGAUAAACGAUUAAAAAACAUAGGGGCAAAAACAGCACAUAUCGUUUGAUUUAUCACAUUAGUCAAUAAACAGUUAUAUAUUCAAAAUAGCAUAACAUAAAACUCAUUAGUUGUGCAUGAAUAUGAAAUUGUCACAAAAGAUUUUUUUUUGAGAACUAGACAAAAGAUUAUUUAUACCACAACAUUGCCAUAGUUAAGUUAUUUAAGAACAUUACCAUAGUUAAUUUCUCUCCAAAUUUUUGCCAUCUCACCUAAAUAUUUUCAAAUUGAUUAUAUAUAUAUAUAUAUAUGCGUGUGUGUGUGUUUAAAUGGUAUAGUUUAUAAUCAUAAUACUAAAGUAUCUUUUUAUAUAGACAAAAAAAUUGUAAUCUACAAAAUAUUUUUCAUUCUUGAUUGAUGAUCCGAAUCUAUGGUUCGACUCCAUUUGACUUGAUUCUUUUGCUUAUAUUUUCAAAAAAUAAUUGAAUGAUUAAUUGUUAUUAUAUACAUGUUUGAUAGCGAAACACAAAAUCCAAGAAAAACAUAAUUAAGUAUAAAGAAGAUAUUGCUUUGGAUUU